AUCUGCCAUUAGAGUGCAUUGAGUCAUGUCACUACUCUCAGCUCUGUCUGCCACCUCCGGAACAGCAGCCUUUGGGAACUACUGAGCUGCUGAGGGACACUGACACUGCAUGCCCUGCCUCUGGUCACCGAAACAUCCACUCUGCACAGGUUAGAUGAGUAGCACUCCCACACACUGCCAGCCCCCAUCUCUCCUCAAAGAUGGCUGUUCAACCACCACAAACUGUCACACUAGCCAACAUGAGCCAGCCUCUCCCUGGAGCCACAUGUGACAUCUAUGUAGCCAGCACGAUGUUACUACAGAGUUGUCACUGCCUGGAAGCCUGGAAUAUCCUGACAAUACAAGUGGUUGGUGGGAAAUUAUGAACAACACAGAAGAACAAGGUGGAGUGAUGGAUGAGAGGGUUUUGCUGGUCAUGAAAGCUAUUAAAAGAAUGUUCUGUAAAGUUUUGGCUGUGAGCACAUCAUCCAUUUUUUGGAAUAAAGAGACGUGUGUUUAUUCAGUUAGGGGU